rnacentral:rRNA from 1 species
AUGCACGCUGGCGGCGUGCCUAAUACCUGCAAGUCGAGCGAACAGAUGAGGAGCUUGCUCCUCUGACGUUAGCGGCGGACGGGUGAGUAACACGUGGAUAACCUACCUAUAAGACUGGGAUAACUUCGGGAAACCGGAGCUAAUACCGGAUAAUAUAUUGAACCGCAUGGUUCAAUAGUGAAAGACGGUUUUGCUGUCACUUAUAGAUGGAUCCGCGCCGCAUUAGCUAGUUGGUAAGGUAACGGCUUACCAAGGCAACGAUGCGUAGCCGACCUGAGAGGGUGAUCGGCCACACUGGAACUGAGACACGGUCCAGACUCCUACGGGAGGCAGCAGUAGGGAAUCUUCCGCAAUGGGCGAAAGCCUGACGGAGCAACGCCGCGUGAGUGAUGAAGGUCUUCGGAUCGUAAAACUCUGUUAUUAGGGAAGAACAAAUGUGUAAGUAACUAUGCACGUCUUGACGGUACCUAAUCAGAAAGCCACGGCUAACUCCGUG